UACGAAGGGAGCUAGCGUUGUUCGGAAUUACUGGGCGUAAAGGGCGCGUAGGCGGUACUAUAAGUUAGAUGUGAAAGCCCCGGGCUUAACCUGGGAACUGCAUUUAAGACUGUAGAACUAGAGGACGAGAGAGGAAAGUGGAAUUGUGAGUGUAGAGGUGAAAUUCGUAGAUAUUCACAAGAACACCAGUGGCGAAGGCGACUUUCUGGCUCGUAACUGACGCUAAGGCGCGAAAGCGUGGGGAGCAAACAGGAUUAGAUACCCUGGUAGUCCCUGAG
rnacentral:rRNA from 1 species